CGUUAAAAAUUUCAUCUAAUUGUACUGUUAAAAACCCGGCUAACGGAAUAACAAGACAAUGACAUGUGACGUGCUAUAUGUAUCUUAUGUUGACAUAUAGAGACCAAUGUAUAAUACUAAAAUGAAUGAAAGUUUUAAUA
rnacentral:pre_miRNA from 1 species